rnacentral:tRNA from 1 species
GCCUGGCUGGCUCAGUCAGUAGAGCAUGCAACUCUUGAUCUCAGGGUUGUGAGUUCAAGUCCCAUGUUAGGUG